AACCCACACAACCGGAUUAUCUGCU
rnacentral:siRNA from 1 species